rnacentral:snoRNA from 1 species
CCUCCUUUUCUUGGCGGUGGCCGGGCGUGUGAUCCCGGUCUCCGUUAUGUACGGAGGCAAAGGGAGAGGGCUCUGGUCCCCUCGGCGUCAUGUCUUCGGUGCCGGUGGCUUCCGGUCCGCCGGUUCUAUCCUCAAGCGCCGAGACACGG